AGAUUCUGGGGGUACAUGUGCAGAUUUGUUAUAAAGGUAUAUUGAGUGAUGCUGGGGUUUGGAGUAGGAUUGAACCCGUCACGUAGAAGGUCUCCUUCACCACGGACAUGUCUCAUUAAAGAUAAACAGUGACCAGUGCCACAUGUGCUGCCACAACUGCGAGGACUUCAGAGCUAUGAUGAUCAUCAGCACCAGAUCCUGCUUCCAUCUCUGUGCU
rnacentral:lncRNA from 1 species